rfam:Strongylocentrotus purpuratus Contig24528_fixed, whole genome shotgun sequence.
UGCAAAUGAUGUUUUCUCACGAUGGUCUACAUAGCCUUAUCAUUAGGGAUUGCUGAUACUGCUUCAAAGCACUUCACUGAUGCAAUUAU